GGGUUGUGAGGUUAAGCGACUAAGCGUACACGGUGGAUGCCCUGGCAGUCAGAGGCGAUGAAGGACGUGCUAAUCUGCGAUAAGCGUCGGUAAGGUGAUAUGAACCGUUAUAACCGGCGAUUUCCGAAUGGGGAAACCCAGUGUGAUUCGUCACACUAUCAUUAACUGAAUCCAUAGGUUAAUGAGGCGAACCGGGGGAACUGAAACAUCUAAGUACCCCGAGGAAAAGAAAUCAACCGAGAUUCCCCCAGUAGCGGCGAGCGAACGGGGAGCAGCCCAGAGCCUGAAUCAGUGUGUGUGUUAGUGGAAGCGUCUGGAAAGGCGCGCGAUACAGGGUGACAGCCCCGUACACAAAAAUGCACAUGCUGUGAGCUCGAUGAGUAGGGCGGGACACGUGGUAUCCUGUCUGAAUAUGGGGGGACCAUCCUCCAAGGCUAAAUACUCCUGACUGACCGAUAGUGAACCAGUACCGUGAGGGAAAGGCGAAAAGAACCCCGGCGAGGGGAGUGAAAAAGAACCUGAAACCGUGUACGUACAAGCAGUGGGAGCCUCUUUAUGGGGUGACUGCGUACCUUUUGUAUAAUGGGUCAGCGACUUAUAUUCUGUAGCAAGGUUAACCGAAUAGGGGAGCCGAAGGGAAACCGAGUCUUAACUGGGCGUUAAGUUGCAGGGUAUAGACCCGAAACCCGGUGAUCUAGCCAUGGGCAGGUUGAAGGUUGGGUAACACUAACUGGAGGACCGAACCGACUAAUGUUGAAAAAUUAGCGGAUGACUUGUGGCUGGGGGUGAAAGGCCAAUCAAACCGGGAGAUAGCUGGUUCUCCCCGAAAGCUAUUUAGGUAGCGCCUCGUGAAUUCAUCUCCGGGGGUAGAGCACUGUUUCGGCAAGGGGGUCAUCCCGACUUACCAACCCGAUGCAAACUGCGAAUACCGGAGAAUGUUAUCACGGGAGACACACGGCGGGUGCUAACGUCCGUCGUGAAGAGGGAAACAACCCAGACCGCCAGCUAAGGUCCCAAAGUCAUGGUUAAGUGGGAAACGAUGUGGGAAGGCCCAGACAGCCAGGAUGUUGGCUUAGAAGCAGCCAUCAUUUAAAGAAAGCGUAAUAGCUCACUGGUCGAGUCGGCCUGCGCGGAAGAUGUAACGGGGCUAAACCAUGCACCGAAGCUGCGGCAGCGACNNNNNNNNNNNNNNNNNNNNNNNNNNNNNNNNNNNNNNNNNNNNNNNNNNNNNNNNNNNNNNNNNNNNNNNNNNNNNNNNNNNNNNNNNNNNNNNNNNNGUGGAGCUGAAAUCAGUCGAAGAUACCAGCUGGCUGCAACUGUUUAUUAAAAACACAGCACUGUGCAAACACGAAAGUGGACGUAUACGGUGUGACGCCUGCCCGGUGCCGGAAGGUUAAUUGAUGGGGUUAGCGGUAACGCGAAGCUCUUGAUCGAAGCCCCGGUAAACGGCGGCCGUAACUAUAACGGUCCUAAGGUAGCGAAAUUCCUUGUCGGGUAAGUUCCGACCUGCACGAAUGGCGUAAUGAUGGCCAGGCUGUCUCCACCCGAGACUCAGUGAAAUUGAACUCGCUGUGAAGAUGCAGUGUACCCGCGGCAAGACGGAAAGACCCCGUGAACCUUUACUAUAGCUUGACACUGAACAUUGAGCCUUGAUGUGUAGGAUAGGUGGGAGGCUUUGAAGUGUGGACGCCAGUCUGCAUGGAGCCGACCUUGAAAUACCACCCUUUAAUGUUUGAUGUUCUAACGUUGGCCCCUAAUCGGGGUUGCGGACAGUGUCUGGUGGGUAGUUUGACUGGGGCGGUCUCCUCCUAAAGAGUAACGGAGGAGCACGAAGGUUGGCUAAUCCUGGUCGGACAUCAGGAGGUUAGUGCAAUGGCAUAAGCCAGCUUGACUGCGAGCGUGACGGCGCGAGCAGGUGCGAAAGCAGGUCAUAGUGAUCCGGUGGUUCUGAAUGGAAGGGCCAUCGCUCAACGGAUAAAAGGUACUCCGGGGAUAACAGGCUGAUACCGCCCAAGAGUUCAUAUCGACGGCGGUGUUUGGCACCUCGAUGUCGGCUCAUCACAUCCUGGGGCUGAAGUAGGUCCCAAGGGUAUGGCUGUUCGCCAUUUAAAGUGGUACGCGAGCUGGGUUUAGAACGUCGUGAGACAGUUCGGUCCCUAUCUGCCGUGGGCGCUGGAGAACUGAGGGGGGCUGCUCCUAGUACGAGAGGACCGGAGUGGACGCAUCACUGGUGUUCGGGUUGUCAUGCCAAUGGCACUGCCCGGUAGCUAAAUGCGGAAGAGAUAAGUGCUGAAAGCAUCUAAGCACGAAACUUGCCCCGAGAUGAGUUCUCCCUGACUCCCUGAGAGUCCUGAAGGAACGUUGAAGACGACGACGUUGAUAGGCCGGGUGUGUAAGCGCAGCGAUGCGUUGAGCUAACCGGUACUAAUGAACCGUGAGGCUUAACCUUACAACGCCGAAG
rnacentral:rRNA from 1 species